AAGGGUAUAGCUCAAGUGGUAGAGCACAUGCUUAGCAUGUGUGAGGUCCUGGGUUCAAUCCCCAGUACCUCCU
rnacentral:tRNA from 1 species